GGGGUCGACUGGUUUUGACAGCGAGAUUAAUUGAACGGUAAGCACGUCGUGUAAUGACUUUGAAACACGUAAAAGGCUAGGUCAAACUUUUAAACGGCGAGAAUAACUACGCUUUAGCUGCUUAAUCUGAAUUAUAGUAAGAUUUGCCCAGGUACACAAGGUGUACAAGCUAAAUGUCUCCAGAAAGCCUUGGUUAAUGGCGUUCUUUUUAGAGGCAUCGUAAAUAUUAACUAAGAUGGUGCAAUGCUUUGAUGCGCUUUCGAGAUUUAGAAGCUAAGUUAUAAGUAGGCUGUCUUUAGCCAGCUUAUAAUCGAAAAACCAAGAAAAGAAUAAACGUGUAGAAAGCCCUUUAGUUACUUGUUUGGACGAGAGUUCGAUUCUCUCCGACUCCACAU
rnacentral:tmRNA from 1 species